rnacentral:rRNA from 1 species
GUCGAACGGACUCUUCGGAGUUAGUGGCGGACGGGUGAGGAACGCGUGAGAAUCUGCCUUCAGGUCUGGGACAACAGUUGGAAACAGCUGCUAAUACCGGAUGUGCCCUGCGGGGUGAAAGAUUAAUUGCCGGAAGAGGAGCUCGCGUCUGAUUAGCUAGUAGGUGUGGUAAGAGCGCACCUAGGCGACGAUCAGUAGCUGGUCUGAGAGGAUGAUCAGCCACACKGGAAYUGRGACMCGGUCCCAGACUYCUWCGGGAGGCAGCAGUGGGGAAUUUUCCGCAAUGGGCGAAAGCCUGACGGAGCAAGACCGCGUGAGGGAGGAAGGCUCUUGGGUUGUAAACCUCUUUUCUCAAGGAAGAAAUAUGACGGUACUUGAGGAAUCAGCAUCGGCUAACUCCGUGCCAGCAGCCGCGGUAAUACGGAGGAUGCAAGCGUUAUCCGGAAUGAUUGGGCGUAAAGCGUCCGCAGGUGGUUUAUCAAGUCGGUUGUCAAAGCGUCUGGCUUAACCAGAUAAAGGCAAUGGAAACUGAGAGACUAGAGUGCGGUAGGGGCAGAGGGAAUUCCUGGUGUAGCGGUGAAAUGCGUAGAGAUCAGGAAGAACACCGGUGGCGAAAGCGCUCUGCUAGACCUGCACUGACACUGAGGGACGAAAGCUAGGGGAGCGAAUGGGAUUAGAUACCCCAGUAGUCCUAGCCGUAAACGAUGGAUACUAGGCGUUACGCGUAUCGACCCGCGUAGUGCCGGAGCCAACGCGUUAAGUAUCCCGCCUGGGGAGUACGCUCGCAAGAGUGAAACUCARAGGAAUUGACGGGGGCCCGCACAAGCGGUGGAGUAUGUGGUUUAAUUCGAUGCAACGCGAAGAACCUUACCAGGACUUGACAUGUCCGGAAUCAUGGUGAAAGCUAUGAGUGCCUUCGGGAGCCGGAACACAGGUGGUGCAUGGCUGUCGUCAGCUCGUGUCGUGAGAUGUUGGGUUAAGUCCCGCAACGAGCGCAACCCUCGUACUUAGUUGCCAGCAUUAAGUUGGGCACUCUAGGAAGACUGCCGGUGACAAACCGGAGGAAAGGUGGGGAUGACGUCAAGUCARCAUGCCCCUGAMGCCCUGGGSUAMACACGUACUACAAWGSGCSGGAMMAAGGGSRGCCMACUWKCMAUAKUGRGCAAAUYUCSCAAAMCGGSGCUCAGUUCAGAUCGAAGCUUGCAACUCAGCUUCGUGAAGGUGGAAUCGCUAGUAAUUGCAGGUCAGCAUACUGCAGUGAAUUCGUUCCCGGGCCUUGUACACACCGCCCGUCACACCAUGGAAGCUGGUCACGCCCGAAGUCGUUACCCUAACCCCUA